rnacentral:rRNA from 1 species
UCUUCCGCUUACGGGAGGCAGCAGUGGGGAAUCUUGCACAAUGGGCGAAAGCCUGAUCCAGCAAUGCCGCGUGAGUGAAGAAGGCCUUCGGGUGGUAAAGCACUGUUGUCAGGAGGAAAGUAGUCCGGAUUAACCGGUCGUACUUGACGGUACUUCAGAAAAGCAUGCUACACG